GUGGAAGGGAGCAGAAGACUGCACGCUCAGACAGGGCGACGGGGGAGCCCCGUGAGAGCACUGUUUCUAAAGAUGUAACAAGGAACGAGAGCUUGUCAUGGACUCUAGACUGGAAACCAGCACCCAGUGGGGACUGGACUGAUGACCAGGCCAACUCCUUCCCUGGCUGCGUUUGGACUUCCAAUUGGAUCUCUCAGGGCAGGGCCUUUGGGAAUUCCCAUGAAGUAUAUUUCCCGGCUCGCAGGAAUGACCGCCCAUCCCCCUCUCCCAAGAAACACAGAUUCCAUCUGGCCAAAGUCAAGAGGAGGCCUCUGCAGUUUCUCCACCUUUGUCGGCGGUGCUUCCAGGAGGAGGAUGGACUGGC